rnacentral:rRNA from 1 species
CCACGGGUCGCUCCAGUGAGGAAUAUUGCACAAUGGGGGGAACCCUGAUGCAGCAACGCCGCGUGGAGGAUGACGUAUUUCGGUGUGUAAACUCCUUUUAUAUGUUAAGAAAAUGACGGUAGCAUAUGAAUAAGCACCGGCUAACUCCGUGCCAGCAGCCGCGGUAAUACGGAGGGUGCAAGCGUUACUCGGAAUCACUGGGCGUAAAGGACGCGUAGGCGGGUUGGAAAGUCAGGUGUGAAAUCCUACAGCUUAACUGUAGAACUGCACUUGAAACUUCUAAUCUAGAGUAUGGGAGGGGGAGAUGGAAUUAGUGGUGUAGGGGUAAAAUCCGUAGAUAUCACUAGGAAUACCUAAAGCGAAGGCGAUCUCCUGGAACAUUACUGACGCUAAGGCGUGAAAGCGUGGGGAGCAAACAGGAUUAGAUACCCGGGUAGUC